rnacentral:tRNA from 1 species
GGAGCUUUGGCGCAGCGGUAGCGCGGUAUGUAAUAAAUAUCUCUCUAAUCAGUCUUCGAUCCCUCAACUAACGAAGAAUUAGUGUGAUUCCAGUCCACAAGGUCAUCGGUUCAAAUCCGAUAAGCUUCA